rnacentral:lncRNA from 1 species
CUUUUUUUUCAGCAAAAUUUUAUGGGCACUUACCAUGUGCCUGGCACUGUUCAGUGCACUGUAGUGCAGGAAUGAAUGAGAUAGCUCAGCUUCCAGAAGUUUACCAUUUACUCCAGGGAGACAAGCAUAAGAAAGUGUGAUUUUACAGAGAGAAGGACUGAGAUUUUCAAUCUGUUGUGGAAUCCACUGGAAUAAGCGAAGUCACUCACGCCAGGCAGCUUCACUGAACGCAUUUUAUACUUUAGGUUUCUGACACAAUCUCAGAGCAAAGAGGAACCUCUCCAAGGACCUAACCAGAUGCAAGCCUGAUUCAUCUCCAUAUCUGCCUUCUCCAGAGACACUACUAUCAAGAAUCUGGUAUGUUUUCUUUCAGACUGCAUUUUCAUACCUUUGUUACAAUAUAUAUGCAGUCAAAACAAUAACUAUGCUUUGCAUAUUUUGAAUUUUACCUAAUACUAUCAUAUUGUUC